rnacentral:rRNA from 1 species
GAUUCUGGCUCAGGAUGAACGCUGGCGGCGUGCUUAACACAUGCAAGUCGAACGGAGUUUUAACGGAAGUUUCGGAUGGAAAUUAGAAACUUAGUGGCGGACGGGUGAGUAACGCGUGGGUAACCUGCCUCAUACAGGGGGAUAACAGUUAGAAAUGACUGCUAACACCGCAUAACAUAGCGAAACCGCAUGAUUUUGCUAUCAAAUAUUUAUAGGUAUGAGAUGGGCCCGCGUCUGAUUAGCUAGUUGGUGGGGUAAAAGCCUACCAAGGCGACGAUCAGUAGCCGGCUUGAGAGAGUGACCGGCCACAUUGGGACUGAGACACGGCCCAAACUCCUACGGGAGGCAGCAGUGGGGAAUAUUGGACAAUGGGGGAAACCCUGAUCCAGCGAACCGCCGCGUGAGUGAAGAAGUAUUUCGGUAUGUAAAGCUCUAUCAGCAGGGAAGAUAAUGACAGUACCUGACUAAGAAGCCCCGGCUAACUACGUGCCAGCCGCAGC